rfam:Microbacterium sp. STBG005 Ion018_assembly_rep_c3459, whole genome shotgun sequence.
UUUCAAGUCUUUAAGAGCAAACGGUGGAUGCCUUGGCAUCUGGAGCCGAAGAAGGACGUAGCAAUCUGCGAUAAGCCUCGGGGAACUGAUAAGCGAGUUUUGAUCCGAGGGUGUCCGAAUGGGGAAACCCCGCCAGGGCGCGUGCGUACCUGGUGACUCCCGCCUGAAUAUAUAGGGCGGGUAGAGGGAACGUGGGGAAGUGAAACAUCUCAGUACCCACAGGAAGAGAAAGCAACAGCGAUUCCGUGAGUAGUGGCGAGCGAAAUCGGAAGAGGCUAAACCUAGCGUGUGUGAUAGCCGGCAGGCGUUGCAUGUUGGGGGGUUGUGGGACUUUUCGGAUUGUUCUGCCGAGCAGUCGACGUGACAAGAGGGUAUAGACGAACGGUUUUGAAUGGCCGGUCAUAGAGGGUGCGAACCCCGUAGUCGAAAUGCUUGUUCUUGGCGUGAAGAGUAUCCCAAGUAGCACGGGGCCCGAGAAAUCCCGUGUGAAUCUGUCAGGACCACCUGAUAAGCCUAAAUACUCCCAGAUGACCGAUAGCGGACAAGUACCGUGAGGGAAAGGUGAAAAGUACCCCGGGAGGGGAGUGAAAUAGUACCUGAAACCGUUUGCUUACAAACCGUUGGAGCCUCCUUAGUAGGGGUGACAGCGUGCCUUUUGAAGAAUGAGCCUGCGAGUUAGCGAUACGUGGCGAGGUUAACCCGUGUGGGGUAGCCGUAGCGAAAGCGAGUCUGAAUAGGGCGAUUCAGUCGCGUGUCCUAGACCCGAAGCGAAGUGAUCUAUCCAUGGCCAGGUUGAAGCGACGGUAAGACGUCGUGGAGGACCGAACCCACUUAGGUUGAAAACUGAGGGGAUGAGCUGUGGAUAGGGGUGAAAGGCCAAUCAAACUUCGUGAUAGCUGGUUCUCUCCGAAAUG